rnacentral:rRNA from 1 species
UCUGGUGCCAGCAGCCGCGGUAAUUCCAGCUCCAAUAGCGUAUAUUAAAGUUGUUGCAGUUAAAAAGCUCGUAGUUGAAUUUCGGGAUCAAAUUGUCGGUCGUGCCUCGGUACGUACUGGCGUUAUUGGUUCCUCCCUUCUGAAGAACCGCGAUGUCAUUAAUUUGGUGUCGCGGGGAA